GGGGUUGUGGCUCAAGUGGUAGAGUACUUGCCUAGCAAGCACAAGGUUCUGAGUUCAAGCCUCAGUACUGCCC
rnacentral:tRNA from 1 species